rfam:Corchorus capsularis cultivar CVL-1 contig16515, whole genome shotgun sequence.
AUGCCAUGGUGAGGGCAAUCGGCACAAAGCACCUUGAAUCUAUCCCAAUCUUGGUAAAAACUUUCAUCCUUAAGUUGUUGAAAGGCGGCAAUCCUUUGUCUUCCUUU